GUCAAGUCUUAGACAAGUGUAAAGUGCUACU
rnacentral:piRNA from 1 species